GAUGAACGCUGGCGGCGUGCCUAAUACAUGCAAGUCGAGCGAACAGACGAGGAGCUUGCUCCUCUGACGUUAGCGGAGGAGGGGUGAGUAACACGUGGAUAACCUACCUAUAAGACUGGGAUAACUUCGGGAAACCGGCGAUAAUCCCGGAUAAUAUCUUGAACCGCAUGGUUCAAUAGAGAAAGACGGUUUUGCUGUCACUUCUCGAUGGAUCCGCGCCGCUUUAGCUAGUUGGUAAGGUAACGGCUUACCAAGGCGACGAUGCGUAGGCGACCUGUCGGGGUGGUCGGCCACACGGGAGCUGGACCGCGCACCAUGCUCCUACGGUACGCAGCAGAAGGGUAUGUGCCGCAAUGGGCGAGAGCCUGACGGAACAACGCCGCGUGAGUUAUGAAGGUCUUCGGAUCGUGAUACUCUGUUAUUAGUGAUGAACAAAUGUGGAAGUAACUAUGCACGUCUUGACGGUACCGAGUCAGAAAGCCCCGGCUAACUACGUG
rnacentral:rRNA from 1 species